GCAUAUCAAUAAGCGGAGGAAAAGAAAAUAACAAUGAUUCCCCUAGUAACGGCGAGUGAAGAGGGACAAGCUCAAAUUUAAAAUCUGUUAGGUUUUACCUAAUCGAGUUGUAAUUUGAAGGAGCGUUUUCCGCGUCUUUAUUGGCCCAAAUCCUUUGGGAUAAGGUAUCAUGGAGGGUGAGAAUCCCGUUCGGCUGAUAUCAUGACGCUUUACGAUACGUUUCCAAAGAGUCGAGUUGUUUGGGAUUGCAGCUCAAAAUGGGAGGUAAAUUUCUCCUAAGGCUAAAUAUUGGCGAGAGACCGAUAGCGAACAAGUACCGUGAGGGAAAGAUGAAAAGAACUUUGAAAAGAGAGUUAAAAAGUACGUGAAAUUGUUGAAAGGGAAACGAUUGAAGUCAGUCGUACCGACGAGAAAUCAACUCAUCGAAUGGGUAAUUGCGGGCGUAUGAGAGCCUCAUCGUUUGCGAAUGCAUGUUCUUUGGGUGUACUUUUUCGUAUGGUAGGUCAACGUCGGUUCGAUUACUAUAAAAUGAUCGGAGGAAUGUAGCUUCGAUUUCGGUUGAAGUGUUAUAGCCUUUGGUAGAUGUAGUGAUUGGGACCGAGGAUUGCAACGAAUACCCUUUUGGGCUAUCCGUCUGACCUCUGAAAGUUGCUUAGGUGCCGAGAGCGUGCUUACGGUUAUUUAAGCCUGCGGUCAAAAGGUUAGAACGUGAUUACAUUCGUUAAGGACGUUGACGUAAUGGCUUUAAACGAC
rnacentral:rRNA from 1 species